GGGGAGUGGGGAGGACCCGGUUACAAGCUCAGCUCGGCUCUCCUUUUCCAGAGGGUCUGGGCACCGGGGCUGCCAACUCGGGGUAAGGAGUGGGGGCGGGAAACCUGCUUCGGUCUCCAUGAUUACGAGCCGCUCAGCGCGCUGGAGGAAGAUUCAAAGUUUGGCGUUGCCACGAUGGAGUCUUGCUCUGUUGCCCAGGCUGGAGUGCAGUGUUGUGAUCUUGGCUCACUGCAACCUCUGCCUCCUGCAUUCAAGCAAUUCGCCUGCCUCAGCCACAUAAGUAUUGGGGAUUAUAGGCAUGUGAUAACAUGCCUGGCUAAUUUUUGUAUUUUUAGUACAGACGAGGUUGCACUGUGCUGCCCAGGCUGGUCUCAAACUCUUGGCUUCAAGUGAUCCACCUUCCUUGGCCUCCUGGAGUGCUGGGAUUAGAAGCAAAAGCCACGGUGUCUGGCCAGGAUUAAAUUUCUUUUUUCUUUUUUCUUUUUUUUUUUUUUUUUUUUGAGAUGGAGUCUUGCUCUGUCACCCAGACUGGAGUGCAGUGGCACAAUCUCAGUUCACUGCAACCUCUGCCUCCUGGGUUCAAGCAAUUCUCUGCCUCAGCCUCUCGAGUAGCUUUACAGAUAGAAUUACAGGUACCUGCCACUGUGGGUAACCCCCACAUGGGCACUGAGAAAGGAGAGCUAUGCAAACCCCAGGCACAAUUAGUGCCUGAAGAAUAUCUUAAUUUAUAGUAUUAUUACUCAGCUAUUUCCUUUAUAUACUCCUUUAUAUAUAAAACCAUAUAUGAUAGAAUUAGUGCCUGAAGUAUAACUUACUGCUUACAUAUAUCUAGCUUAUAUAAUCAUACUUAGUACUUAUAUCUAGCAUACUUAGGUCCAUAUAAUUUUUCUAUAUAAUCAUAUAACAGAUGUAGUCAGAGCUGUACUGACACAUUUAGUGCUGAUUUAUAUAAUCCUUCUAUAUAACCAUAUAGUAGUUUGUAGUAGGAGGAAUGCCUAGAGCAGUCACAAAGCGGAAGCAGUACAUGGGAAAACAGCCAGACCAGGACGAGAACCAAAGACCCAGGCAGUGAGUUAAAGGUGCACAGAGCAGGGAUCUAGAACACAGAAGAGUGUGUGGGGAGGUGGGUGAAUCUAAGACAAAGUCUCCCAGAGGAAGCAUUAUUAUGCUGAAAUUAAAGGACAUGGGAGUAUCCAGGAAAAGAGGCCAUGAGGAAUCCCAGAUACAAAAUAAAAACCAAAGAGUCCUGAUUGCUGACUGCUGGGUGUCAUGACUGUAAUCCCAGCACUCCAAGGCAGGUGGAUCACCUGAGUCAGGAGUUUGAGACCAGCCUGACAGACAUGGAGAAACCCCAUCUCUACUAAAAAAUUAGCUGGGCAUGGUGGUGAACACCUGUAAUCCCAGCUAUUUGGUUGGCAGGCUGAGGCAGAAGAAUCACGUGAAAUCGGGAGGAGGAGGUUGCAGUGAGCCCAGAUCGCCCAAUACCACUAGAGGUUAAAGAUUAAAGGACAGGUUCCGAAGUCUAAAGCAAAUACUGUUGAUGGGUAAUAUCCCUGUCCACAAAUCUUCCACCACAUGGCUGUGCUGGAGUUUCAGCCUACUCUGGCUCAAGGCUGCCUGAUUCGUGAAUCUUUCAUGGCUCAAUUAAACUCUGUUUAUUUUGAGAAAUAUUUAAAAAUUACGUAUCCAUGGAGUCUCACUCUGUUGCCUAGGCUGGAGUGCAGUAGCGUGAUCUCAGCUCACCACAACAACCUCCAUCUCCUGUGUCCAAGCAAUUCUUUCUCAUGCCUCAGCCUUCCCAAUAGCUGGGAUUACAGGUACCCACCACCACACCCGGCUAAUUUUUUGUAUUUUAGUAGAGACGGGGUUUCAUCAUGUUGACGUCUGAAGUUUUAAUUUUAUCUGAAGUCACAUCAAUCCCUCAGCUAAUAUCCUUGGUUGAUCUCUCCCACAAAAAGCCAUCCGGAAUGAUCAAAGGUUAAUUUUAUAGGACUACAUGAGUAAUUGGUUUAUAAAUUAUUAUAAACCAACAGCUGUAAGAAAUCUAUAAAUCUUCAAAUACUUUUAAAAGAAAGAAAAAGAAGAAAGAAAGAAAGAGAAAGAAAGAAAAGCAAGCAGAAGUAAAUCCACACACUUACGGUGAAAUAAUUUUUGACAAGGAUGCCAGGAUAAUUCAAUGAGGAUAAAACACUCUUCAGCAAAUGGGGCUGUAACAACUGGAUAUCCACAUGCAAAGAAUGAAGUUGGACAUUAUGAUGUUUAAUAUUAAGUGUCCAUUUGAUUGGACCAAAAGAUGCAAAGUAUUGUUCCUGGGUGUGUCUGUGAGGGUGUGGCCAAAGGAGAUGAACAUUUCAGUCAGUGGGCUGGGAAAGGCAGACCCACCCUCAAUCCGGGUGGGCACCAUCUGAUCAGUAACCAGCAGGGUAGGAAUAAAGCACGCAAAGGAAGUGCAGACUUGCCGAGUCUCCCGGCCUUCAUUUUUCACUGGUGCUGGAUGCCUCCAGCCCACAAAUAUCAGACUCCAAGUUCUGCAACUUUUGAACUCUUGGACUUAACACCACAUGGUUUGCCAGGUGCUCAGGCCUUUGGCCACACACUGAAGGCUGCCCUGUUUGCUCCCCUACUUUUGAGGGUUGGGGACCUGGACUGAUCCACCACUGGCUUCCUUGCUCCUCAACUUGCAGACAGCCUAUCGUGGGACUUUUCCUUGCAAUCGUGUGAGUCAAUUCUCCUUAAUAAACUUCCUUUUAUAUACCUAUA